GGCGCUGAUGCUUGGGGUUCUCAAAGGCCAGAAACACCGCCUUGGGAUGCAGCAGAGUAUAGUCAACUCAUCUCUGCACGGCCGUUGCUGCCACUACUAGAACAGUAUGCAGGCGUAGGUUCUUAUGACCAAAACACUCUCAGGGGGGCCCCAUGGCAAGUUCAGUCACAAGGCGCUAACACUGACUAUGUACGGGCAACCAACCUCAACUAGCUAGUAUGGCUAAUCAAGGGCCUUCAUGCAGCACGUGACAUCAGCCAGCACCCAUGUACCUGCCAUCGACGUCAUACACAGCGUAUUACGCUGGUGGUGACACGGCAAACGUCCCGUGGCAAGCUUCACAAAUUGCAGGUGGAGCACGACAUUUUGGUGUCACAGACCACACAAGAUGGCCAAAUGCAGCACAACAAGGUAAGGAAAAAAAUUGAACCACAAAAAACAUCACUACAUUUGUUGUUUGUAGUUUUUUGUAGGCAAAACAAUAGUUGCCAUGUUUGUUGAACAGUACCUGCCAUGACUGGACAGCUACAGCUGCCACACAUGUCCACACGCAGUCUCACGGCUUGCUGUUUGAAAAUAUGUCGUGCCAAAUCAAUCGAAGAUGGUGUGAUCCGUUGUGAUACACAUCUUAUUCAA